rnacentral:rRNA from 1 species
AUGAACGCUGGCGGCGUGCUUAACACAUGCCAGUCGAACGGAAAGGCCAGUGCUUGCACUGGUACUCGAGUGGCGAACGGGUGAGUAACACGUGGGUGAUCUGCCCUGUACUUCGGGAUAAGCUUGGGAAACUGGGUCUAAUACCGGAUAGGACAACUUUUUGGAUAUUGUUGUGGAAAGCUUUUGCGGUAUGGGAUGAGCUCGCGGCCUAUCAGCUUGUUGGUGGGGUAAUGGCCUACCAAGGCGUCGACGGGUAGCCGGCCUGAGAGGGUGUACGGCCACAUUGGGACUGAGAUACGGCCCAGACUCCUACGGGAGGCAGCAGUGGGGAAUAUUGCACAAUGGGCGCAAGCCUGAUGCAGCGACGCCGCGUGGGGGAUGAAGGCCUUCGGGUUGUAAACUCCUUUCGCUAGGGAAGAAGCUUUUUUGUGACGGUACCUGGAGAAGAAGCACCGGCUAACUACGUG